CGAUUCUGCCAUCUAUGAGGAAGAGCCGAGAAGGAAUUCGCCACCGCGGGUAUUUCGGAACCACGCCGUUGAUUGGGGCUUGGCUAUUGCACUACGGGGAUCGACGGUGGGCCUCGAAGUUCUCGGUGUAGUCGGUGGGCGGCGAGGGACCUUGUGGCCACCGGAAUUCCUCACCGCACCUGCUGCCCAGUCGUAGAACCUGCUCGCGCCGUAGCCCGACUCCUCUGCGACGUCAUUGCCGGUAAGGUGCCCUUGGCCAUGUUCGCCGUCAUUACUGCCUUGCGUAGCAUUCGUAGAAUCGAUGUUUGGGCGCGUGGUUCGGAGUUUGGGCGACACCGGCCAUGGUGCUGCCGCGGGCGCUCUAGCACCGCCGCACGCGUAGUGGAACGGGAUUGAGUCAUCAGGAGCAGUGUGAUAGGAUGCAUCGCAACCGUAGAUCAGCAGAGGAACAAACGAGAGUGGUCCAUGGGUAUUUAACGGCUGGCCGUUGGAUGGGGAUUUGAUAGCGUAGAUUAGAAUCUGGGGCAUUGUUUCAUAUGAGUGGAUAUGAUCUGUCCGAUCUAGAUCGGAGGGGUGCACUCAUGUAUUGUUUAUUUAAAUCUGGUCCGCAGAUCUGAUGUUGUGCGGUUCACGUGGCAUACCGAUUCGCUUUAGGGUUAUUCUAAUCUCGACCGUGGGAGUUUGAUCUGACGGCCAGUACUUCAUGAUACCCCUUCACCGUGACAGAGUUUCUAAAGAGCCCCUGGAAUAGUAGAGAAUCAACCCGCAGUCCAAGGUGACUGUGCUCUGAGUCUAUGGAAUCUUUCACUGAGGCCCCUGGUGUUCGGUUUAAUCUUGUGCGGCAGCCUAGAGUUCAGUAAAAAUGAAUAAAUGAUAAAGGAAAUGGAUUUUUAGUAUGAAAUUAAUUGCAACAACUUGUAUAAAUGUAGAAAAUUCAUAUGAGCUCCAAAUUGGUCCAUUCCAGUUCCUAUAAUUCUGUAUUAAUAUUUUCUAUAACUAUGUAAUACUAUUUUAACAUGAAAAUUGUAUUAAGUUUGAUCUCUUAAUUAAUCUUUUGACAGACACAUAGAACCUUCAGAAAUUUAUAACUCACAAUCCGUAACUCCAAUUUGAUCCGUUCAAGUUGCGUUAGUCUCGUAUAAACAUUUACUAUGCAAUAACAAUAUUUAUUGUACCAUGUCUCAUUCUUUUAUAAUUAGAGCUUUAUUUAACCUAUGUUGGUUAGUCUUGUUAAUCUACUUAUCAUCAUAAUCUACUAAAAUGUGAUACAUGGUCAAUUUAUAAUUUAGAUUAAAGUUGAAUUAAUUACUACUUUAGCUUAUCUUUUCUUUGGAAUUAUAAAACAAACAUAGAACCUGAUGUUAAUCAUUUAAUCACAUCAUAACUUGAUGACCACGACUUCGAUCUUAGAAGUUCUCGAUCUCACGACCUCGUAGCGACGCGUAGACCAUUAUUAUUCAGUUUGUUCUUAUGUUUGGUGCCAUGUUAAUUUAUCUAUACCAUGUUUGUUUGUAUUGCUAUGACUAGCAGUGAGGUCACAAGGAUCUAAAGAAUCACCCUGGUAACUGGAAUCUCAAUUGCCAG
rnacentral:lncRNA from 1 species